UGUGCUGAUGAGUGUGAUUUGUCGGAAUAGCCCCGUGCUAUGAGGGUGAUGGCUGACGGUGCCGAGCACGGAGCUGAGCGCGUAGCUGAGCGGGUUGGUUACCUGAUGGAGUGUGAGCGUACGCUGGGUCCGCCUGUGGUGCGGUACUGUGAAACACGAGUACCCCACUGGAAAAAGAAGAAAAAAAAGAAAACUACAUGGGACUUCCAUAGAAGACGGCACGGACCGGUUAAGAGAAAAUCUUCAAAAGACCUGAAUCAGCAGG